UACGUAGGGGGCAAGCGUUGUCCGGAAUUAUUGGGCGUAAAGAGCGCGUAGGCGGUCCGGUAAGUCGGUUGUGGAAAGUCGGGGGCUCAACCCUCGGAUGCCGAUCGAUACUGUCGGGCUAGAGUCCGGAAGAGGCGAGUGGAAUUCCUGGUGGUAGCGGUGAAAUGACGCAGAUAUCAGGAGGAACACCGGUGGCGAAGGCGGUUCUCUGGGCAUUACCUGACGCUGAGGAGCGAAAGUGUGGGGAGGCGAACAGG
rnacentral:rRNA from 1 species